rnacentral:rRNA from 1 species
UGUGAGUGAUGGAGGCCCUCGGGUCGUAAAGCUCUGUCAGUGGGGAAGAAUAGGUUCUAGAGUAUAACGCUAGGGCCGACGACGGUACCCACAGAGGAAGCACCGGCUAACUCCGUGCCAGCAGCCGCGGUAAGACGGAGGGUGCAAGCGUUGUUCGGAAUUAUUGGGCGUAAAGAGCGUGUAGGCGGCAGGUUAAGUCAGAUGUGAAAGCCCUCGGCUCAACCGAGGAAGUGCAUUUGAUACUGGCCAGCUAGAGUACGGGAGAGGGGAGUGGAAUUCCCAGUGUAGAGGUGAAAUUCGUAGAUAUUGGGAGGAACACCGGUGGCGUAGGCGACUCCCUGGACCGAUACUGACGCUGAGACGCGAAAGCGUGGGGAGCGAACAGGAUUAGAUACCCUGGUAGUCCACGCCGUAAACGAUGGGCACUAGGUGUUGCGGGUAUUGACCCCUGCAGUGCCGUAGCUAACGCAUUAA